GGGCAGUUAGCUCAGCGGUAGAGCGCCUGCCUUACAAGCAGGAUGUCACAGGUUCAAAUCCUGUACUGCCCA
rnacentral:tRNA from 3 species